rnacentral:lncRNA from 1 species
UGCCAAUGAGACACAAUGAGGAAGUAAAACUAAAAUACAUGACAGAUGAAAUUUAUUUCUUACAGGUCUCAAGUAAAUUAGGAGUUCUAAGGGGGAGGCUGACAGGAAGUCUGGAGGCAGCAGGGAGCUCAGUCAGUAGGUGGGGAGCAAGAGAGAGAGAAGAGAGAAAGAGGAUCUGUGGGACUAUGCCUUGAAUGUAGCCCAUGAGAGUUAUCCCUUAGGCUUUUCUGCAGGGGCUAUGGAUUAGAUGGUAUAAAGAAAGCACAUAUAGGCUGGGUGUGGUGGCUCACCUAAUACACAUAGAAAAUCGAGAAAAAAAUAUUUUAAAUCUUUAGUAUUAGAUUAAGAGGCCUGAGUUUUUAAUUUAAAUACAUUAAAAUAACCAGUAGGUGGUAUUUAUACAUUGCAGUUUUUAAGAGCAUACAAUCCUGCCUCAGAAUUGCAGAGAUUAAAUCCUGCUAUUUAAUUAUUGUAAUUUGGACAGGUUAAGCUCUCUCUGUCAUCAUUUCCUUAAAGAAGAAAAUUUGAAAAUAACUACACUAAUGGAGUUAUUUGGAGGAAUAAAUAAUAUACAAAAAUUACAUUAUAUGGCCGGGCGCAGUGGCUCACGCCUGUAAUCCCAGCACUUUGGGAGGCCGAGGCAGGAGGAUCACGAGGUCAGGAGAUCGAGACCAUGGUGAAACCCCGUCUCUACUAAAAAAUACAAAAAAAAUUAGCCGGGCACGGUGGCAGGCGCCUGUAGUCCCAGCUACUUGGGAGAUUGAGGCAGGAGAAUGGUGUGAACCUGGGAGGCGGAGCUUGCAUGAGCCGAGAUUGCGCCACUGCACUCCAGCAUGAGCAUGGGCAACAGAGCAAGACUCCGUCUCAAUAAAUAAAUAAAUAAAUAAAUAAAUAAAUAAAUAAAUAAAUAAAUAAAAUUUAAAAAUUACAUUAUAUAUCUGACAUAUAGUAAGCAUUAACUAUUUUGGACCUUUAAAAAUGAUAAUUUUGUAUGGUUUAACCAUAUGUACAUAUAUUCUACGUUGCCAUGUGUAUAAAUAAAUCUGUUUUUACUGUAGAUAAUUCAUAUACAUGUCUUAAAAAUGACAAAUCAAAGGAGGGGUAUUCAUCAGUGAUCUAGUACCAUUACCAGAAGAACAAUAUAAGUAAAAUCAUCAUGAAUAUUUAGCUGAUGUAUAUGGAUAUGGGGCUGGGAGAGGAGGAAAGUAUUGUUCAAAUAUGCUUAUCCAAUUUUAGCCUGCAAUAAUAAUAGAAAUAACAAUAAGAAUAAAAAUAACUGCUUCCAUGAAUUUUUACUCAUUUUUAAAUUCUACAUUUUUUUGCUACCCCAUAUCACAGACAUCAAAUUCUACUUUUAAACUAAUAAAAUGUAAGUUUUACAUGAUAUUUCUUUAAAAUGUUGAAUUUUUCUAUCAGAUAUUCUGGAGUUUUUGUUUUCCACAGUAAAUCUACAUAGUUAUUUGAGAUGUAUACUUUUUACCUAUAGUUACAAUUUACAUUCCCACACCAAAAUGAUUACUGAUAUAGUUGAGUAAAUAAAAUAUAUAUAUCAUAACAUUUAAAUGACAAAAUUAUAAUAUAAAGAAAAGAAAAUAUUCAAGAAUUAUAUAGUAUGUAUUUUCAAAUUAGGGUCCUUGUAAGAGACUGAUUAUACCCAGGUCAAGAAGGAAGUAAGACUUAAAUGGCUGCAAUAAGUGAAGUCCAUCCGGGCCAAAAUGAGGACUAGCUGUCCAAUCUCCUCUGAGCCUAAGAACUUUAGCAACUGUUCCAGUUUUGCUCAUGGUUGCAAAAUGUUUCCUAUAUGGCAGAGAUGUAGAAGAGACAAUUUUUUAAAAAAAUAAUUAGAGUGGAAUAUUGUAUAUUUAUAUUCUAUAGAAGUUUUUUCCACCUUGUUUAUAGUCUUUUUAAAUGUUGAUGAAUUCCUUAAAAUGCGGAAUAAGACAAAAAUAGGCUGGGCAUGGUGGUUCACUCAUGUAAUCUCAGCACUCUGGGAGGCUGAGGCAGGUGGAUCACCUGAGGUCAGGAGUUUGAGACCAGCCUGGCCAACACAGUGAAACCCUAUCUCUACUAAAACUACGAAAAGUUAGCUGGGCGUGGUGACACACCUUGUAAUCCCAGCUACAAGGGAGACUGAGUCAGGAGCAUCGCUUGAACCCGGGAAGGGGAUGUUGCGGUGAGCAGAGAUGGCACCACUGCAUGCCAGCCUGGGAGACAGAGAAAGACUCUGUCUCAAAAAAAUAAAAAUUAAAAAAAGAAAGACAAAAAUAUUGGUCUUUAUUCAUUUAGCCAGGUACCAAGGAACUCCAUCCCUUUUAAAAUUAAAAUAUGAAAUGAACAACUAGUUGGAAAAUCUAGGUUACCUUAGGUUCCCACAUGCCUCCCAUAGUUAGAUCCCUCCUUUCUCAUGUCUUGAGAUCCUGCUGCACUUGAAGCCUACCUCACUUAUUGCACUCAUCACAUUGUAAUGAUAUUAGUUUCCUUUCACAUCAGCGAUACCUCUUUAAAUGAAAAAUCUAACACUCCUACACAAAAGGUGCUCAACAAAUGUUGACUUAUCUUAAUUUUGUUCUUCUUCUAAAUUUAUACAAACAUUGUGCAUACAAAUACUCACUUCAUCUAGUCCCCUAUAACAAUCUUCUAAGAAGCAGCUCUCUUCAUAAGCAUAUCUCUUGGUCCUUUAAGAAUUAGAAGUUUCUGGGUGGGUGCGGUGACUCACGCCUGUAAUCCCAGCACUUUGGGAGGCCGAGGUGGGCGGAUCACGAGGGACAGGAAAUCGAGACCAUCCUGGCUAACAAGGUGAAACCCCAUUUCUACUAAAAAUACAAAUUAGCCAGGUGCGGCGGCACACGGAAUCCCAGCUACUUGGGAGGCUGAGGCAGGAGAAUUGCUUGAACCCAGGAGGCGGAGGUUGCAGUGAGCCGAGAUCGCGCCAACUGGACUCCAGCCUGGGCGACAGAGUGAGAAUCCGUCUCAAAAAGAAAACAACAACAACAAAAAAAAAAGAAUUAGAAGUUUCCAUGGAAUUAGCUAAGUUCUUUCAUUCAACCAGCAGAUUAUGUGUCAGCUCUUAGUGCAUUUAAAAUUCUGGCCUAUCAUUAUGAUAAUAUAUAAAACUCUUACCAUAGGAGGAAUAAAUACUAGAUAAACAUUAAUUCCAUGUGAAUUUCUUUUCUUCUUUUGUUUUUGGAGAGGGAGGCUCGCUCUGUCACCCAGGCUGGAGAGCAGUGAGGCAAUCUCACCUCACUGCACCCUCCGCCUUCUUAGAUGAAGCGAUUCUCCUGCCUCAGCCCCUGGUUAGCUGGGACUACAGGCCCGUGUCACCACGCUCUGCUAAUUUUUUUGUAUUUUUAGUAGAGACGGGGUUUCACCAUGUUGGCCAGGCUGGUCUCAAACUCCUGACCUCCUGACGGCCCAGCUUGGCCUCCCAAAGUGUUGGGAUUACAGGUGUAAGCCACUGCACCCAGCCUCCAUGUAAAUUUCAUAUGAGAAAUAAUUCAAGUACAUAUUUAGUAUUGCUAAAUCUGACUUUCUCUAGUAAACAUUUAUUUUCAUAGACAAUCUCAUAGGCAAAUUUUAAAAAAAUGUGUCCAUUUGCUAAGAGAAGUUGGUCAUUACCUUUUAUACUCAUGACACUAUAGUUAUGCCAAACAUUCUUCAUUACUUUCUUAAAUUGUGUAGAACAUAAUUUUUCUAGAAAAUAACCUUGGUGGAUAAAUAUAAUGUGUUUUCAUAUUUAUUUAGUAACAUUAUAAAUAUAGAAGUGCCUACCAAGGAUAGUUUAGCUACAGCCACAUGUAAUUACAUUCUGGUGAUCUGCUUUGCCUAUGUCAGUUUCCAAACUUCAGAGAUGUGCUAGCUAUACUCCAGUUGUUCAGAGUCAGUACUUUCAACAUAUAAGAAAUUUGUUGGCCGGGUGCGGUGGCUCACGCCUGUAAUCCCAGCACUUUGGGAGGCCAAGGCGAGUGGAUUACCUGAGGUCAGGAGUUCAAGACCAGCUGGCUAACAUGGAAAAACCCCGUUUCUACUAAAAAUACAAAAAAAUAGCCGGACGUGGUUGCGCAUGCCUGUAAUCCCAGCUACUCGGGAGGCUGAGGCAGGAGAAUCGCUUGAACCAGGGAGGUGGAGGUUGCAGUGGGCCGAGAUCACGCCAUCACACCCCAGCUUGGGCAACAAGAGCAAAACUCCAUCUCAAAAAAAAAAAGAAAUUUGUUUUUGCAUUUAAGUGUCUGGUGUGUGCCAAGAACAUAUUUUUGAAUGGGCAUUAUGUUCAACUUAAUAUUUUAAAUAUGGAAAGGUUACAUGGGAAUGCCUUGGAUGGACCAUUUUAAGAGAUAAAAAAAUCAGUGUAUUUAUUUGCCAUCUUUAAAAUCAUCAUCAUCAACAAUAGCAAAAGCAAAAUGACAUAUUUUUCUUCUCUUUGGUUUUUGUGUCCCAGAUAGGUGCCCUUUAUUUGCAGUAGUUGUAAAAGAAGAUGAAGAGCUGUAGUAUGAACUUUUUAUUACCUCAAGGUCUCAAGAGAUAAUGGUGGAACAGGUUUCUGGUGUAUCAAAUUUUAUUUCACAAAGUGCAAAUGCAAAUGCUUUAAUAAAAACAAUAUGUGAACAGAAAAACUUGUUAAAAAU